AGAGUUUGAUCCUGGCUCAGCAUGAACGCUUGCGGCGUGCUUAACACAUGCAAGUCGAACGAAGCACUCUACUUGAUUUCCUUCGGGAAUGCUUGUUUUGUGACUGAGUGGCGGACGGGUGAGUAACGCGUGGGUAACCUGCCUCAUACAGGGGGAUAACAGUUGGAAACGACUGCUAAUACCGCAUAAGCGCACAACUUCGCAUGAAGUGGUGUGAAAAACUCCGGUGGUAUGAGAUGGACCCGCGUUGGAUUAGCUUGUUGGCGGGGUAACGGCUCACCAAGGCGACGAUCCAUAGCCGACCUGAGAGGGUGACCGGCCACAUUGGGACUGAGACACGGCCCAAACUCCUACGGGAGGCAGCAGUGGGGAAUAUUGCACAAUGGGCGAAAGCCUGAUGCAGCGACGCCGCGUGAACGAAGAAGUAUUUCGGUAUGUAAAGUUCUAUCAGCAGGGAAGAAGAAUGACGGUACCUGACUAAGAAGCACCGGCUAAAUACGUGCCAGCAGCCGCGGUAAUACGUAUGGUGCAAGCGUUAUCCGGAUNUACUGGGUGUAAAGGGAGCGCAGGCGGCGCGGCAAGUCUGAUGUGAAAGCCCGGGGCUCAACCCCCGGUACGCAUUGGAAACUGUCGUGCUAGAGUGUCGGAGGGGUAAGCGGAAUUCCUAGUGUAGCGGUGAAAUGCGUAGAUAUUAGGAGGAACACCAGUGGCGAAGACGUCUUACUGGACGAUAACUGACGUUGAGGUUCGAAAGCUCGGGAGCAAUCAGGAUUAGAUACUUGCGUAGUCCACGCCGUAAACGAUGAAUAGUAGGUAUUGGGGAACAUGGUUCUUCGGUGCCGUCGCAUAAGCAGUAAGUAUUCCACAUGGGGAGUACGUUCGCAAGAAUGCAACUCAAAGGAAUAGACGGGGACCCGCACAAUCGGUGGAGCAUGUGGUCUAAUUUGAAGCAACGCGAAGAACCUUACCAAGUCUUGACAUCUUUUUGACCGUCCUUUAACAGGGAAUUAUGUUCGGAGCAGGAGUGACAGAUGGUGCAUGGUUGUCGUCAGCUCGUGUCGUGAGAUGGUGGCAUAAGUCCCGCGACGAGUCGCAACCCUUAUCUUUAGUAGCCAGCAUUUCGGAUGGGCACUCUAGAGAGACUGACAGGGAUAACUAGGAGGAAGCCGGGGAUGACGUCAAAUCAUCAUGCCCCAUAUGAAUUGGGAUACACACGCGAUACAAUGGUGUCAACAAAGGGAGGCAGAUCUGUGAGGCCGAGCAAAUGUCACACAAAACGUCUCUACAUCGGAUUGUAGUUCACUAAUCGAACACACGAAGCUGGAAUCGAUAGUAAUGGCGAAUCAGAAUGAUGCGGAGAAUACGUUCACCGGGUCCUGUACACACCGCCCGUC
rnacentral:rRNA from 1 species